GAAGAAUGGCGCUUCUAUUCCAUAGUGACAAGUGUUAACCCUAAGAGUGAUGAAUCCUUAUUUGACAUUCCACGAGUAUGGGCAGAGAAUAAUCCACCAGGACUUGCUUGUAAUAUCCCACCCAUACAUAUUGAACUAAAGCUUGGGGCCUAUCCUGUGAGCCUACGUCAAUAUCACAUACCCCAAAAGGCUAAGGAAAACAUGCAAACCUACUUGGAUAAGUUCGUAAGGUAUGGCAUCCUAAAAUUCUGUACUUCCUCCUGGAACACUCCAUUAUUACCUGUUCAAAAACCAGGAUCGGACGAAUAUCGUCCUGUACAGGAUUUGAGAGCAGUUAAUGAUGCAGUAGUUAAUAU